GUAACUUAGAAGCCAAAUGGUUAGGCAUCUCACUGAUAAUGAGACUCUUCGCUGAGAAGAAUAAGGGUUCGAUUCCCUUCUUUACU
rnacentral:tRNA from 1 species